UAAGCAAGAAUGAGAGAAGCGUUUAUAUGUGGGAGAGUAAUGAUGAGCACUUUUGGCACAGAAUAAAAUAUAUAAUGAAUGAUGCGUGGCGUGAUAAGAAGUGUCGGGUAAAUCCAACGGUGAGCAGAUUUGAUUACAGUAGCCACUGCCCACUAGACUAAACAGAGAGGAGUCUCGGGGCGUCUUGGAAGAAACGAAUUGCUUAAAGGUUGGUGUUGCCAUUGGCCAAUUUAUCUGCACAUUUUGUGUCUCUGGAUAUUCGAAGGUCUUGGUGGUCCAAGUUUUGAUUUAAGUCAUUUUGGGUGACACGCACUCGGAAAUAUUUUGUGAGAAUGAAUAGAAAAUUUGGAGGUGGGAAGAAGCCAACAGGGACUCCUUCACUGGCUUGGUCCUGUGUGGUUGUUGUCUUCUCUCUUCUUGCUGGAGCCUCCGUUGUUCACAACAUCUAUAAGCCUAAUCUUACAUUGCCUCCAGUUGAUGAAGUUGAUAGGACCAAGCAGAAACAUGACAAGCAAGAAUGAUCAUCUCCUGUUGAAUUCCUUUUUAGUAUCGACAAGAUGACCAAGUUUUGGGGGCAUAAAUCACUGCAAGUAAGUCUAAUAUACAAACUACAACGGAUUAAUUUUGGAUGAUAAUAAAUAUUUUGGAAUUUCAUUUGUAUGGUAUGUUUUAAAUUGUUGGUGGAUGUAUGGUUGCAAAAUUUUUGAAGGACCACUAGUGAUGUUUUAAAUUUUUGAGAGACUAAUUUGGGGAUCAAAAUAUUUGGAAAAUUGAUACAGUGAUGUUUGUUUUAUAGUAAUGUUUUAAUUUGGUAACUUUGGUCUUUGAAGGACCAAUUUAAGAA